CGCAGACACUAAAUCAGCAGUCAGUCAUGUUUUUCUGUGUUCUGAUCAACGCUGAAUAAACUUGUAAAUAAUGCUCUCCUGACUGCAACUUUUGGCUGUGCAUUUAUCUGCUGAUAGAGCGUGCAUGAGCUCUAGAAUGUGGCAAGAUAUUUUCUAGAAACUCAUGUCGCUGCGUGCCUACGGGAGACUGAGAUGGAUCGUCCGGCA